UGGAUUGUUCACCCACCAAUAGGGAACGUGAGCUGGGUUUAGACCGUCGUGAGACAGGUUAGUUUUACCCUACUGAUGAGCUGUGCCGCAAUAGUAAUUCAACUUAGUACGAGAGGAACCGUUGAUUCGCACAAUUGGUAAUUGCGCUUGGUUGAAAAGCCAGUGGCGCGAAGCUACCAUGCGUGGGAUUAUGACUGAACGCCUCUAAGUCAGAAUCCGUGCUAGAUGCGGUGCUCUCUACCUCCUCAGCUGUUACCUGAUUAAGGUUAGGGGGGCCCCGUGCUCCCCCGAGAACACAUGACGCGAGCGCCGUCCCCCGGGGCCGAUGCUGCCCCGGGGGCGCGGCUUGGAAAUCCAAUUUCGAACGGUCGAGGAGAUAAAUCCUUUGCAGACGACUUAAAUAGGGGACGGGGUACUGUAAGUGGCAGAGUAGCCUUGCUGCUACGAUCCGCUGAGGUUCAUCCCUCUGUCCCACCGAUUUGU
rnacentral:ncRNA from 1 species